UGAUGUUUGUAACAAGGUAUUUUCAAAGAAAGGAAAUUUGGUGAGUCAUAAAAGAACACACACUGAAGACAGACCUUAUGAAUGUGAUGUUUCCCAUAAAAGAUUUUCGCAGUCAGGUCACUUAAAUAAUGAACAUAAAAGAACACGCACUGGAGACAAACCUUAUCAAUGUGAUGUUUGCAACAAAAAAUGUUCGCAGUCAGGUCACUUAACUGAACAUAAAAGAACACACACUGGAGAGAAACCUUAUGAAUGUGAUGUUUGCAACAAAAAAUUUUCAAAGUCAAGCCAAUUAACCAUUCAUAAGAGAACACACACUGGAGACAAACCUUAUGAAUGUGAUGUUUGUAACCAAAGAUUUUCGCAGUCAGGCACCCUAGCGCUUCAUAAGAGAACACACACUGGAGACAAACCUUAUGAAUGUGAUGUUUGUAACAAAAGAUUUUCGCAGUCAGGCACCCUAGCACUUCAUAAGAGAACACACACUGGAGACAAACCUUGGAAAUGUGAUAUUUGUAAUAAAAGAUUUUUGCAUUCUGGCAACUUAGCUAGACAUGAACAAACACACACUGGAGACAAACCUUAUGAAUGCGAUGUUUGCAACAAAAGAUUUUCUGACUCAAGCACCCUAACUAAUCAUAAGAGAACACACACUGGAGAGAAACCUUAUGAAUGUGAUGUUUGCAACAAACAAUUUUCACGGUCGAACACCUUAGUCAGACAUAAAAGAAUGCACACUGGAAACAAACCUUAUGAAUGCGAUGUUUGCAAAAAAGAAUUUUCUGACCCAAGCACCCUAACUACACAUAAGAGAACACACACUGGAGACAGACCUCAUGAAUGUGACAUUUGCAAGAAGAGAUUUUUACGCUUGAGCCACUUAACUAGGCAUAAAAGAACACACACUGGAGACAAACCUUACCAAUGUGACGUUUGCAACAAGGGAUUUUCAGAAUUACACAAGCUAACACGACAUAAAAUAUCAGCACACAAGAGAAACCAGAGUUUCGAGUGCGGUAUAUGCAAGAAAACAUUCACACAACGACAAAGUAUCAAACGUCACUGGAGAUCACACUUGACAGAUGGCUUAUUAUUGUGCUGAGAUACUGAGUGAUGAUCAUUUUGACUGUGACAAAUGCAACAAACAGUUCCCUGAUAUUGAAAGUUUAUAUCAGCACAAGGCCAAAGACCAUGGUACGUCCUACCAAUGUGAUGUCUGUAAGGAAUUAGAAGCAAGAGAAGCAACUGGUAUUGGUUAUAUCUGUUGUGUCUGCGAUGCUGAGUUUGAAAUUGCUACUAAACUUGAAGAUCAUAUGAGUAUGCAAGACAAUGUCCUGCCCCACUAGCUAGGCAACUUAGUUUCAAAAUAUUUAACUUGUUUUCGGAUUGUCUCUUUAAACUUGCUAUGCAUGUGUCAAUUCCACA
rnacentral:lncRNA from 1 species